rnacentral:rRNA from 1 species
CCUACGGGUGGCAGCCGUGGGGGAUAUUGGACAAUGGGGGAAACCCUGCUCCAGCGACGCCGCGUGAGUGAAGACGUAUUUCGGUAUGUAAAGCUCUGUCAGCAGGGAAGACAGAAAUGACGGUACCUGACCAAGAAGCCCCGGCUAACUACGUGCCAGCAGCCGCGGUAAUACGUAGGGUGCAAGCGUUAUCCGGAAUUACUGGGUGUAAAGGGAGCGUAGACGGUGAUGCAAGUCUGGAGUGAAAUGCGGGGGCCCAACCCCCGGACUGCUCGGGAAACUGUGUAACUUGAGUGCAGGAGAGGUAGGCGGAAUGCCUAGUGUAGCGGUGAAAUGCGUAGAUAUGAGGAAGAACACCAGUGGCGAAGGCGGCUUACUGGACUGUAACUGACGUUGAGGCUCGAAAGCGUGGGGAUCAAACAGGAUUAGAUACCCCAGUAGUC